rnacentral:lncRNA from 1 species
UCUAAGCAAGAGGGUGCAGCAUAACAUACUGCCAAGACUAAGAUCCUUGAGGGCAUUAUCAUUGUCUCAUUACAAGAUUAAGGAGUUGCCAAAUGACUUAUUUAUCAAAUUAAAGCUCCUCAGAUUUUUGGAUAUUUCUCGGACAGAGAUUAAAAGGUUGCCAGAUUCCAUUUGUGUGUUGUAUAACUUAGAGACACUUCUCCUGUCAUCUUGUGAUUAUCUUGAGGAGCUACCACUGCAGAUGGAGAAGUUAAUCAACUUGUGUCAUCUUGACAUAAGCAACACUUCUCUCUUGAAGAUGCCACUAUAUCUGAGCAAGUUGAAAAGCCUCCAAGUGUUAGUGGGAGCCAAGUUUCUUUUAGGUGGUUUGAGAAUGGAAGAUUUGGGUGAAGCACAGAACUUGUAUGGAUCUCUAUCAGUUGUAGAGUUGCAAAAUGUGGUUGAUAGUCGGGAAGCUGUGAAGGCAAAGAUGAGGGAGAAGAAUCAUGUUGACAAGUUAUCUUUGGAGUGGAGUGAAAGUAGUAGUGCCGACAAUUCAGAAACUGAAAGAGACAUACUUGAUGAACUACGCCCACAUAAAAACAUAAAAGAAGUCGAAAUCACUGGAUAUAGAGGGACAAAAUUUCCAAAUUGGCUAGCUGAUCCUUUGUUUCUUAAGCUGGUGGAAUUAUCUCUUAGCAACUGCAAGGUCUGUUAUUCCUUGCCAGCACUAGGAGAACUCCCUUGUUUGAAAUUCCUUUCGAUUAGAGGGAUGCAUGUAAUAACAGAUGUGAUGGAAGAAUUCUAUGGUAGUUUGUCCUCAAAAAAGCCUUUUAACUCUCUUGUGGAGCUUAGAUUUGAAGAUAUGCCGGAGUGGAAGCAAUGGCACCUACUAGGAAGUGUAGAGUUUCCUAUCCUUGAGAAGCUUUUCAUUAAAAAUUUCCCUGAACUCAGUUUGGAGACACCCAUCCAAUUUUCAAGUUUAAAAAGGUUUCAAGUUGUUGGUUCUUCUAAGGUUGGAAUUGUUUUUAAUGAUGCUCAACUGUUUAGAUCCCAACUUGAGGGAAUGAAGCAGAUUGAAGAAUUAUAUAUUAGUGAUUGUAACUCUAUUACCUCCUUACCUUUUAGCAUACUGCCCACUACCUUGAAGAGAAUAAGGAUAUCUGGUUGCCGGAAUUUGAAAUUGGAUCCGCCAGUUGGUGAGAUGAGUAUGUUUCUCGAGGAAUUGAAUCUGAAGGGAUGUGAUUGUAUAGAUGAGUUGCUCCCAAGAGCGCACAAAUUGAGAAUUUGGAGUUGCCAGAACCUUACUAGGUUUUUGAUUCCAACUGCGACUGAAAUACUCAAUAUUUGGAAUUGUGAGAAUCUUGAAAAACUUUCAGUGGCAUGUGGGGGGACCCAGAUGACGUGUUUGAAUAUUUGGGACUGUAAGAAGCUGAAGUGGCUGCCAGAACGUAUGCGGGAACUCCUUCCAUCUCUUAAGGAACUACAUUUGUGGGAUUGUCCAGAAAUAGAGUCCUUUCCUGAAGGAGGAUUGCCCUUCAAUUUACAAGCCCUUCGGAUCAAAUAUUGCAAGAAACUGGUGAAUGGGCGAAAGGAGUGGCGUUUACAGAGACUCCCCUGUCUCAAAAAGGUAACCAUCUUACAUGAUGGCAGUGACGAAGAGAUUGUUGGUGGUGAGAAUUGGGAGUUGCCUUCCUCUAUUCAAAGACUUUUUAUAGAGAAUCUGAAAACAUUAAGCAGCCAACAUCUCAAAAGCCUCACCUCUCUUCAAUCUCUACGUAUUGGGGGUAAUUUACCUCAAAUUCAGUCAAUGUUGGAACAAGGCCAGUUUUUGCACCUCACUUCGCUUCAACGUCUACAAAUCAUUGAUUUCCCUAAUCUCCAAUCUCUUCCAGUAAAAGGGAUGCCAUCUUCCCUCUCUACACUAGAUAUUCGUGACUGUCCAUUGCUCACACCACUACUAGAAUUUGACAAGGGGGAAUACUGGCCAAAUAUUGCUCAUAUCUCCACCAUAAAGAUCAAUGAGAAAUGCCUUUAAUGAUUAAAACAAAUGGUGCUCUCACAAAUGUAAGUUUUUCUUUUUCCUCAUAAGCAUUCUUUUUUCUUUAACUUCCUUUGCUUUUAUGUUAAUUCUUUUUCUUUAUUACAUUCUCGUUGCGCAGUAUGGAGUGUCUAUUGCCACUCUGAAACUGAGAAAUCAUCUUCAGAUUAUAAUUAUUUUAAUUUUAGAUCUCAUUAGCAAUUAAUGUUACAUAUCUUACUCGAAGAUUUUUAUCGCUUGAACUUUCAUCUCAAUAGCAAUUCAUGUGUUCUUAUUAUUUCCCUUUUCAGUCAGUUUAGAGUCAUCCACAUGUCCACUAUCGAAUUCAAAACUAUAAUAGAAUCCAAAGGUGUACCAUACACAAGAUUUGUUUCCUAUGUAUCAAAAAUACAAAUGUUUGCCUCCCAAUAAAUUUAACACCUAAAAGCAUCAGCACUAUUCAGGUUUUUAUUAAUGAUUCAGCCCCAUCAUAGAGAUCGAUUGGGAAUACAUGUGAUGAUUAAAACAGAUGGCUCUCCAACUGAUGUAAGUUAUUCUUUUCCAUCAGAAGCUUUUUAUUUUUGUUUACUUCACUUUGAUUUUUUGUUGAUUCUUUUCCUUUUUAAAACCUUGUUGAGCAGUGUGGAAUGUCUAUUGCUCAAGAAAGUUGAUUGCUUAAUAUAUGUUAGCAGGAUGUCAUCACCUUUGGAGAUAAAGGGUCCAAGAAAUACAACCUCACUUUCUCAAUCAGGUAGCCAACACCUUGAUAAGAGUUACAUCAAGCUUCAAAUUUAAAGAAAGUGAAAACAACUUAAAUUGCCUGAUUCCAUUAUUGACGUCAUGUUGUACCACAUUGAUUUCAAGUUUGAUGCGACUGCAUUAUUACAUCAGUUUUUUUUUCAUAUUCAAAGAUCCAGAAUAUUACAUUAGUUUUUUGGUUUUGAUAUGCAGAGAACUUUGAGGAUUAUGAAGUUUCCUUCAAAUUAUGUCCGUUACUCAACCUCGAGUGGCACCUUACAGCUAGUGGGAAGUCAAGAAAGUAUAUCCUGCUCGGAAUGAAGUCAAGGUUAGAUAAUUAAAUAAUGAUUUACUGGUGUUUCAGUUACUAAGAUGCUUAUUUUGUAGUAAUAGUUUGCACUCUCAUAAAUCAGCGAAAUAGAUUUCCUUCAUUGGCACUCUCAUCAGUCAUCAAUCAGCGAAACAGAGAAAUCAACGGUUUCAAAAUUCUCUGGAACCCAUUUCAAGCUUCACGCCUUCAAUUCUAAUGACACCCAAGACACAGAAGACAUCAACAUAGUAGAAGAAUUCAACCCAAUACCCAUUUCAACCCAAGUUUUCGAUUCCUGCUUCACCUGAUGAGAAGAAGUUUAUGGGUGAGAAAGUUACAAAGCUGAAAAUAUCUUCUUCUAUCUUUUGUUUUACACAUCUUCUGAUUGAGUUAUAAUACAUGCCUCGCUUCUAUACAAGAUGAGAAACCAUAAAAUGCCUUUAUGAAGUGUUUGCGAAGUUGAUGUCACCUAAUUCAGAUUUCACUGAAUUAAUUUUUGAACCAAAUUAAUGCAUAUGUUUGCUCUAACGUUGAAAAGGAAAAACGUUGAAUGAUAUGGAUAUUUUCCUUUUAAGAAUACAAAGUCGCGAUAAAGGUAGAAAAUUUAGAUGGUAUUAAUUUUGAUAUGGAUCACCGUUGAGAACUUUGCCUGAGGUAUUAAAUUCUAUUUUCCCUCUUUAGAAAUGUUUCAUGUAGCUCCUAAUUGUGAUGCUUCAUUUACAUAUUUUUAAAAUUUGAUCAUAUAACAGGGAUAGAGUGUGUCCGAGUCAAUUUGAUGUUACAGACUUGCAGCUAACUGUUGUGCGUUAUAUAAUUGCAUAUUUCUUAGACACCAGAUAUGACCAAGUUCCAUCUACAAUGUUAACAGAAUCUUUGAUAGGUAAAGGAGGCAGACAAAAAAGCUAAACAUCUUUUUUCUUCCGUAUAGCUCCCAGGCAACUACACAAGGCAAUGCUUGAUAUAAGGGCUUUAGAUAUACAUUUGCAGGGUGUUUAUCGUAUGAGUAAGGAAAUCACUGUCUUCGCUCCCAGCAGACAGUGAUUGGAAGAUCCAUCCUCGCAUCACUUAGCACCUUCCAGCAGGCAAGCCUUUUUUUAAAAAAAUCUUCUCUUGCAUAUACUUUUGCAAUUUUAAACUUCAUUUUGAAUUGUGUUGUUGCUAACUUAAACAUGUUUGUGCUUAAUCAGAUGUGGAUUUUGAAGGGCUGUUGACACCCAAUUUUGACCCUCCCUGAUAAUAAUUAAUUUUCGAGCUUUUUAAAUUUCAAACAAUUUAAAAUAAUUAGCCUUGUAAAAUCCAAUUGGUUUCAAGAUUAUUUUAAGUAAUUUUCGUAGAUUUCUAUAGUAGUUUGAAUAAUAAAUAUAUUUUACAUAAUUAUUUAUGUAUUUAGUAUAUUUUAUAAAUGGUUGAAAUCCAUAUCAAAUGAUUUUUACAGUGUUAAAAUAAGUAGUUUAUUAAUUUGGUUUUAGUGUGAGUUAUAGUUUGAAUUUUGAACUAAUUAGUUUAUAUUUAAAUCAAUUACUUUGUAAUCAAGUUAGUUAUUUUAUUUUGUAUAGAUUAAGAAGCUCAUUAAUUAAUUUAUAUAAUUUCAUCUUGUCGAGCUUUUGGCCGAAUUCACAAAUCAAUUUCCAACCGGUUAAAUUUUCAACCUCAAUUGAUCAUAAUUUUAAUCGUAAUCCCUUUUUUUUUUAUUUCUAAGCUUGGUUCUUUUAUUUUUGCAAUCCAGCAGCCCAAACACUUAAAAAACAACCCAUCCCAAACACCAAUUUUCAGCUUCAAUUCCCAACCCAAUAAUUCCUGUGACCAAGCCCAAUUUCCCCUUUAACCCGGCCCACCCCAAUUCUAAAAGAAAUCAAUACAAUCCAAUGUUCCCUUUUUUUUCCUCUGUCAACGCAUCAAAUUCACGGCAACAACGACAAUCCCAAGCGGCGUGAGCAACAAUUCCUAAACGACACCAACAACAGCGUACAAACGACGCCCUAAAGUCCAUCAACUCACGGCGAUUCACGGAAAGCUCACGGCGCGAGAAAACGCGUGCCUAGUACAACAACAUACUGCUAUCCGUCGCCCUCUUCGCUGCAACAGUGCAGUUGCAGCAGCUGCUGUAACAGCGCAGGGUGUCCUUGAGGACGUAGGAUCGAGACACGUAGCAUCUCAAGGACAUCAAAUUGAUUGAAGUCGUCCAUCGCCCUUUCUCCUUCCGGAAUGAGACGAAUUUUCAAAGAAAAGGUGUCGUCCCAAAACGGGAAAAGAAUUUUUUGAAUUUGGAAUGGGCCUCGUUUCACCCGUUCUUUGCCCUAAUUUGAGGGAUAAAUAGUUCCGGAUCCUUCAGGUUUUAGGCAGGAUUUUCAGUUGCUGGAAAGGAAGAUAUAUAAACAUAAGAAUACAUAUAUAAAUGGAGAGCGAUAUUUAGGCAAAAGUCGACAAGAAAUUUGAUUCUUGUGUUCGCCUCUUGCAAGGCUCGUCGGAAUCUCGUUGUGGUAUUGGAGUUGCUGUUUCUCUGCUCGUGGUUCUCGGUUUCGCUGCACCCUUGAAGGUAACACUCAUCUCUCUUCAAGCAUAUCUUGCUCAUAAUGUGUCGUCGCUUGAUUCUUAAUGCGUGAGCCGUCUGCGUGAUAAUGUUUGGAGAAUACUUCGACUCAUUGCUUAUCAUAAAUCAGUAUGUAGCUGGUUUGUCUGCUUCUGGACACUGAUAAGAGUUGAGUUUUUCCGCCUCAUUUGUCUAUUGCUGCAUCUGUUGAUUUAUGUUGGUUAUAUUGUGACCUGGACUUUUGCAAAUGUAUUGGAAUAUUGGGUUUUUAUUGUUAUUACUCUUAUUGUCCUAGUUUUUCUAUAACACCUCUAUGAUCGGUUUCAAAAUUCCUAUUAAUCUUAUUCUGUGUCUAUUUGUUGUAAAUAUGCUUAUGGCUCAGGUUCUAGUGGCAAAUCGUAAUGUAUGCUUCAUGUUUAUUUGGAUUUGUUCACUUCGAUUUAAUAAUGAAACUUGUCAAAAAUCGGUGCUUACCUUAGCCCAUAGGUUGUUAUCUCCGAUAAUCUUAUGUUGCUAUUCAGGGGUCAAGCGUGUCGAAUUAUUAGCAGUCUAUCUAGCUAACGGUGUUCAUCAUAAGUAGCGGUUAUAUUCUUCUCAGAUAGUAGCUUAAGCUUUAACUGAUUUUUACUACUUUAGCAUGAUAUAACUCACCAAAUAUUUGAGGAAUCAGAUUAUUUCCCUUGGAUUUUCACUGAUGGUUGGCCCGUACUUGAGUUACUGUAAGUAGAACAUUUGGUCACGACUCGUUAGCUUAUCCACCAUAUAUUUAAUUCUUCCUGCAAAUAUUCAAAUGCUUGUCCUAUAUAAAAAAAUAAUAAUAUAUAUAUAUAUAUAUAUAUUAAUUUCUAUCCAUUAGUUUAUAGUGUUAUUUCCAGUGAAGUCCUUGAAUAUGCAUUUUAGUUGUUUGUGCUAGUAGCUGUUCAAUUAAAUAAUCUUUUUAUGUCUCAUAGUUUGAUGAAUCCAUGGCUGUUUACUGCUUCUUCGUUAGUAAAAUCGCUUAAUGAUGAUCAUGAAUUACUCAUGUUAAUUCUUUCCUUCCACUUUCCUUACAUGUGAUGCUUCGCCGAGUCUAUUUGGACUUUUCCCAUUGCCUCUUUGCAUUUUCGAGUAUCGAGUCAGCCCUCCGAUGUUCAAGAGUGAAAUGGAAUUGGCGUACAGGUGUUUGGAGCUGAUAUACGGGAUUGUAUACAUUAGUAUACACCUAGUGUAUACGAAAAAAUGAAAAAUGGGCAUAAAGUAGCCUUAAAUUUUCAGCUUUUGUAUUUUUGUAAUUAUUGGACUAAAAGCCCAUUUAUUUUGAUUAUUAUUGUGUUAGUUUAGGACAGGUACCAAGUGUUGGGCCAAAAGCCCCAAAAGCAGAAAUCAGGCCCAAGUAUUGGUCCAGGCGAACAAAAAAAAAAAAAAAAUCCAAACUUGGGCCCAACUCUCUUUCCCUCUUUACUUUAUUGUGUUCAUUUACUUACUAGUAUUUGUCGUUAGUCUUAAGGUCGAAAAAUUCAAAUCCCCGAAAAACGUCUAUUUUGAUUUAAUAAUUUAACUAAACCAGUCAUCUCUUAAACAAGACUUAAAGGAAUAAUUUUGCAGGAUAGCUCACUUAGACAAUAUUUAAAUAUUUCCUCUUUUCCCCCUUUAAAAAUAAGUUUUAACUAUAAAAUAGAUCAAUUUCGCAAGUCAAGCUAAGUUAAAAUUAUUUUAGUCAAGUAGUUAAUCGUCGGAUAACCACAUUAGUGGAUAUUUUAGGUGUCUUUAAAACCAUCCUAGAAUAUUAAUAAGAACCUCGAACCCCCCUUUUAAAAUUUUCAUUAGAUUCCAUGUUUUAAUCUUUUGAAAAAAUAGUUUUCUUGAUUUUUCUUAAAAAUUAAGUGGCGACUCUAAACCAGUCCAAAAUAAUAUUUUCUUAAAUAAAACAAGGGCGAGUACGACAAAUCUGGUCCAUCCAUUGUCCACAAGAAGUGCUUCUAAGGUGUUGCUGCUAUUUUUACAUUUGUUCGCGAGUUCUUUUUUAUUUUUUUUGUUCUUUCUGCUAAAGCUAUUAUGUCAUCCACAGUGAACUCAGGUCUGCUGUUAUAGGCAAGUCAUCGAGAUGGGGCUAUCAAAGAAGGGUGAUUAAAAACAUUGUACCGCUGAUACUAUUUCAUGUUUCCAGUGCAAGCCUCUUUUGUAAGUUGACAAACUCGAUUUGUAAAUAUGUUUGGGACUCAACUAGUGGUUAGAGUAUUGAUUUUGUAAGAUUUUUGUCCAGAAAAUCAAAUUAGAAAGAUUACUCGCGAUGAUUGAAUAAGCUCGAAGAAGUGGAUUUGAAUUUCAAUUCGUGUCUUUUUUUUAUGUGUGUGUGUGUGUGAGAAAUUUGAAGUGUUGUUUAGAUUUGUUGGAAUAGUCAAAAGACUAUAAAAUUUGAAGACAUUUGAUGGAGAUCUGAUUAGAUGAUUUUGAACAACAAUUGCAACUGAAGAUGGAUAUGUAUAUUAUUUUCGUAGUUAGCAACGUGUUAUAUAUUUUUAUAGUGGAUAUAUUGUUUUCUCAUUCGGUGAUGGGCAUCCACAUUGGAGUCCGACUAAAUUCGGAUUUGCACAUUUCGACAGGCGGCGCUCUUGACAUGAUUUUUUCCAUUCCACGGCUUAUGCUCCUAAAUUCUAAUUAAGGGUAGAAAAAUCUCAACUAUUUCACCACAACUCAUAUCCGUUAUAUUGGAUAUACAAGUGUAAACUAAAAAAUAUAACUAUGUAGGUGCAAGUAUUUUUGAAAAAAACCCAAAUAACUAGCCAAUAUAAAGAAAGAAUACUAAAUCCUACACUCCUAUGCACAUUCUACUGCAAAACACAAGUAGAAAAACUUCAAAUUUCGGCCAUGAAAUGACACCAUUUUCUCACACUCAAAAUGAUGUUAAAUUUCAUGAAUGAAACAAUACAUAUUACUUAGGUUGAAGCCCCAUUUUCUUCCUCGUUUUCCCACAGUAUAAAUCCUUAGACUUGAUCAUCCCAGGGACUAAUCCAACGAUCGUUGUGAACGAAAAUUGAGCCACUGCAUCUUGCCUUCCUAACUAAACGAUGAUCUUAGGCGAUGAUCGAGGCCCAUAUAUUGCAAGUUCGCAUUCUUUUCCUCCGCUCAUCAAAAGUCUCAAGUUCUUCGCGGCCACUAGAGCAUGUUUUUGAGCUGAAUAUCCUUGUUUAAGUUCCUGGUAAUGAAGAAGCAUUAGAAUUCAAUUGAAUAAUCCUAAGAACAUACACUGUAUAGUUCCACAAGUGGAGUCUAGGGAGGAUAGAGUUUACACUAACAUUACCCCCUACCUUGUCAGGUAAUAAUUCAAAUGAAUAAUAGAUUCGAAAAAUGCAAGUACUAGCUAGCUGCUUCAGGUCCUCUGGCUACUGCUAUAUUAUCAAAAAGAAUCAAGAUGCCUUUUAAAUCGACAACAUAUCCAAUGUAAUCCACAAGUGGAGUCUAGGGAGGGUUAUGUGUAAGCAGACCUUACCCCUAUCGUAAGGAAGAAAGUUUGUUUCCGAUACUAGGUUGUAGUUUCUCUGUUGCAACAAAACUAAAAAAUCACCACCCUUCACAUUUGGUCGAACAAUGCAGACUAAUAUCAAUCCAUGUCAUUUCAUGAAUAAGAUGUGAUCAAUUAACCAACCAAUUCCUAGCCAAUGAUGCUCUCUUCUAGCUUUACCUACAUGGCGAGGGAAAAAUCAAAGGCGAGGUGGAAAAUGGCCUGCUACAUCAAGAAAUAGAACUGACUAAUCCUAACUCCUAAGUCAGAGGGUCGAGAAACUCAAUACCACUAUUCUCAAACAACUUGGAGCAGGGCCUUCGUUCUGCACUAUUACUGAUAUGAAAAUAAUGGUCAAAAUCAGAUUAAAUUGUCAAUUGCCUCCAUUGGAAAUAUAGAAUUGACUAUUGACUUUGAAGGAACUGGAGUUACAUCUUCUUUUCCAUUCAAGAGAUUUUAUGCGUUUUCACGAUCUUUUAAGACCGUGAAAAAUGGACAAAUUUAUUUUCUUAGAAACACAUACAAGAUUCGUCACUACAAAAAGCAUAUAUUUUCAAGAAAUAAGAGAUAUGCAGUUUAGUGCUUACCUUAAUAUCAGUUAUAUCUCCAACAGCAAAUAUGUUUCUAUGACCCUUGAUUCUAAGAUUUUCAUCAACCUUCAAUCUUCCAAAAUUACGAUUCGAUCCUUCAAAUACGUCUCCCUUAACUACUCUGAACCCGGUGGCUUCCCCGUGCUAAGAAAAUGGCCAUCCUCUCUGAUAGUUUCCCCAGACGAGGUGAAAUAUGUUCUGUUUCCAACCGAGCUGUACAUGUUAUUACUCAUAUCGACAGAUUGCAUCAAUUUCACUUCCAUAUUCUUGUUUUUAACCAUUCUAAAUUCUAGUAGUCUAGAUCCAUCUUGCACCAAAGUUACCUUCUUCUGAGGAAAAUCGACAGUGAUUUCUGCAGCAAGUUUAACACUAGUAGGCCACCACCAACAAUCAAUACUGCUUUUAUCUUUUCAUUCUCUGCAACAAAGAACCUCGCAACAUUUUGACUAGUACAUCUCAACAUUCAUCACAAGACAAUUGACUGAAUCCCGUGAAAACUUGCUAGAGGAGCCGGUUUACAAAUAAAUAAUCUCCGCCUAAUGGAUACAGAACACCCAUGCUUUAGCUUUGUUUUAUCAUUUCCCGUAAAGGACAUCAAAAACAGCCUAGCCUCUCGCCAUUUUGACUUGUAAUAUACAACCUGACAAGACAAUCGCAAAAGAAAAGAUCUAAUCACUAGUAUGUCUCGACGUACAACAUAUCCAAUGUAAUCCCACAAGUGGUAUUUGGGGAGGGUAAGAUGUACACAUACUUUACCUCUACCUUUGCGGGGUAGGGAGGUUGCUUCCUGUAGACCCUCGGCUCAAAAGAAAUGAAGAAAUAAUAGCAUCGUGCAAGAAUAUAUGAUAAACAAAAUUACAUUAUACAAAGCAAAUGAAGCAACAUAUAGUAAUAUACACUGGAAAAAAAGGAAGCUACGCAAUUACUAAAUAUUAAUACUAGUACAUCUCGAACUCUUUGUGAAAUAGUAGAGCAGUCAUGAUCAAGACAAUUGGCUGAAUCAAAUUAAAUAAAACCUGACAGAAGAGCCGGUUUACACAUAAAGAAUCUUUUCUCAACAGAUACAAAACACUAAUGCUUUAGCUUCUUUUUAUCAUUUUCCAAAAAAGUUGACACGAUUAUUUGAUUUCAACAAAACUUUCCACGAUAAACGUACAAGUAAUUUGCUCGUUGAAAAGCAGACAAUAUGGUAAAUCUAACGAAUUAAGCACAACUAUCUAAACCAACUUCAACUCACCACACUAAAUUUUAAACUAAAAAAAAAUAUUCUCUUUAUAUUCUUCUUAUAAUGGUAUAUUAAAUUAUAAUUUAUAGUAAAGGUAUAUUAAAUUACAUUUUAUAAAAUUAUAAUGUAAUGUUAUUUAUUAAUAAUGUAUUAUAUUUGCAUUUUAAUAACGGUAUAUUUUCUCUACCUAGCUCAUGAUUUUUGUUGUUUCAACUUUUCCAGUGACUUCAUUUAGAGUUGCACCCUUGUGCUUUGAUAAAAUGCAGAAUCUUAUGUAUAAAAAAAUACAAGAGGUCAUUUCUAGAUAAUUUAACAUCUAAUGAUCUAAUAAAGCAUCUUGUUUCAGUUGGUGAAAGUUUAUAUCCAAUAAAAAUAUGUCAAUUUGGUGGUAUGUCAGUCCCCACCAAAGACUAAACUAUAGGGUCUCAACUCAUUACUCAUGGUGGCAUGUAUCUAUUGAUUUAUUGUAAAAAAAAAUACGAAUGUGUCUUCAUCCCAUCUGAAUUUGCUUGGUAAUAAUUUACUAUAUAUGAGGUGUUUUAGUUCGCACUAUCGAGAGGACUUUAUUACAAUUUUCAACCAAGAGAAAAUUUUAUCUCUGAUCUUGUAUAUAAGAAAACAACUACAAGGGAAAACUUUUAUCAUUUUACCAAAGCUCUUGGUGUUAUCGAAUUUCCAACUUCUUGACGUGUUUUCAAGUAUAAUAAAUUUAUGAUAGUAUAGAAAGAAAGAAAUGAAAAUAAAACAUUAUUGUUGGGUGAAAAGUGAUACUCAUGGAAAGGACACAGGGGCGGCUCAACGUAACUGGAGGCCUAAAGCGAAAUUUUAUUUGAGGCCUAAAAAAAAUCAUACAUAUUUAUUUAAAAAUUAUUUUUCUAAUUGUUUAGAUGCACAUUAUUACUUCAACUUUUUAAUAGAUGAUUUAUUUGAGUACUUUUUUAAAAAAAAUUAAUUAAUUUUAGGUAAGAUUUUAUCAAUUCAAUGCUGAAAAAUAUCCUUUUACUAAAGCAAUCAUUAUAUGAAUUGUUAACAUAAUUCUCUAAGGAAUAAGUUGACAAACUUUAAGCAAAAUAAGAGUUAGAACCAUAGAAUCUGAUUCAAGACGUUGAUAACUUGAUAUACCUAACUUUGAUUGAAAAUUUAAGUUAAAAAAAAAUUGCGAUUCACUUUGUUCAACAUUGUUCGACUAAUGAUUCAGAUUUAUGAUAGAGUAUUACUUUAACUUAUCAAAGAUUUGUAGAAAAAGAGUGAAAAAGGAGUUUUAAAAUAAAUAAAUAAUGUGAAUAUUAGUUAGCAAAGAAAUGUAAUAAGACAAAACAACGUUNNNNNNNNNNNNNNNNNNNNNNNNNNNNNNNNNNNNNNNNNNNNNNNNNNNNNNNNNNNNNNNNNNNNNNNNNNNNNNNNNNNNNNNNNNNNNNNNNNNNNNNNNNNNNNNNNNNNNNNNNNNNNNNNNNNNNNNNNNNNUGUCCGCAUCCCCCACCCACCCCACCCAAAAUAAAUAAAAUAUCCUUCCUCUUUUGCCUCAAUUUUUCAAUUAUUCAAUUGAGAUAAAAGACUCUUGUUAUUAGGUGAAAAGUGAUGCUCAUGGAAAAGAUAAAAAAGGACAAUUUAAAUUACUUAUUAUUUUUUCCCUAUAGCUAUUAGUCGUGGGAAAAGGCAUCAAUUCCUCUUUAAAUUUGUCCCGAAAAGUCAGUUACAUGCUUAAACUAUUAUAGUGAUCUAUUACACACUUAUACUACUCAAAAGUAAAUUUUCUUACCCCUUAAAACUGACGUGGCAAAAAAAUAAAACAAAAAUAAAAAAUACGCGCGUCAGUUUGAAAUUAAAGUGAUAAAAAAAAGUUAGAAUCUUCUUUUCCACCCCACCCCAUACCUCUUCUUCUUCACACCCCACCCCUUGUCCUCUUCUUCUUCAUUCUUUAUUUUCAUCACACUUCUUUAUUUUUUUUAUCACAAUCUUAAAGCACAAUUUUGUUUUAUUCGCAAUAAGGUUAAUUCUCAUAGAUUUGUUAGUUUAUAAUUGUAUUUUAUCUAGAGAAGUUUCGGUUGAUUGUUUCUAUCUUUGUCAUUUUUUUGACUUUGUUAAAGAAAUUUUUGUUGUUGAUCAAUUUUUGGGUUUAGUGGUGAUAGCAACUUUAUGGGUUUGGUGGUGAUGGUGGUGGGUGAUAAAAAAUUAAAAGAGGUAAUUGAAGAUGGUGAUGAAGAAAAAAUCGAUAUUAAUAAUGGUGGUGGUGAUAUUUGGUGAUGGGUGACAAAGAAGAAGAAGAAUUGAAGGUGAUAUAGUGGUGGUGAAGAACAAAAUCAAUAGUGAAAGGUGGUUGGAUAUGAUUUUUCCGAUGAAAUGAGAAUUGAAAUUGGUGGGAUUUAGUGAUGAAGAAGAUAUAAUUAUUAGAGAAUUAAAGUAAUUAAUAAGAGUAAAAUAUAGUUAACAAAAGAAAAGUUAAUUAAUAAAGAAAAGAAAAUAAAAAAUUAUAAUUUAUGACAUGGCGCUGAUGUAGCGGUGAUGUGGCAACGAGUGUAAUGCACCACAUAAUGUAAGAGUGGUAUUACACGUUUUAGGGUGGUAAUAAAUUCACUUUUGAGUAUUAAAGGUGUGUAAUAGGUCACUAUAAUAGUUUAAGCGGGUAACCGGGACAAGUUCAAGGGGAAUCUAUGACUUUUCCCAUCAGAUGUUGACCAUACAAAACUAUUAUCUUCUCAAAAUCAUUUUGUGUGUUUCCUUGUUUUGCUUUGCAGAUUUCAGAAAUGGAGAUUGUCUUAGCAGUUGGUGGUGCAUUUCUCUCUUCAGCUUUGAAUGUUCUCUUUGAUAGGCUUGCUCCUCACGGUGAUCUGCUCAACAUGUUUCGGAAGCAUAAGGAUCAUGUUAAGCUCUUAAAGAAGCUGGAGGACAUUUUGCUUGGUCUUCAGAUUGUGCUAAGUGAUGCAGAGAAUAAGCAAGCAUCAAAUCGACACGUGAGCCAGUGGUUUAAUAAGCUUCAGAGUGCUGUGAACGGCGCUGAAAACUUGAUAGAAGAAGUCAAUUAUGAAGCUCUGAGGCUUAAGGUGGAAGGUCGGCAUCAAGAUCUCGCAGAAACAAUCAACAAGCAAGUAAGUGACCUUAACCUGAGCUUGAGUGAUGACUUCUUUCUAAACAUAAAGGUCAAGUUGGAAUACAUCAUGGAAACAUUGGAGGAUUUGGAAAAGCAAAUUGGCCGCCUUGGCUUAAAGGGGCAUUUUGGUUCGACGAAACAAGAAACAAGAACACCUUCAACUUCUUUGGUUGAUGAAUCUGAUAUCUUUGGUAGGCAGAGUGAAAUAAAGGAUUUGAUUGACCGUUUAUUGUCUGAAGAUGCAAGUGGGAAAAAGAUGACAGUAGUUCCUAUUGUUGGAAUGGGUGGCCUGGGUAAGACAACACUUGCUAAAGCCGUUUACAAUGAUGAGAGGGUGAAGAACCAUUUUGGUUUGAAAGCUUGGUAUUGUGUUUCUCAGGGAUAUGAUGCUUUGAGAAUAACGAAAGGGUUACUUCAAGAAAUUGGCAAAUUUAACUCAAAGGAUGUCCACAACAAUCUUAAUCAGCUUCAAGUCAAAUUGAAGGAAAGCUUGAAGGAAAAGAAGUUUUUUAUUGUUUUGGAUGAUGUGUGGAAUGACAACUACAACGAGUGGGAUGACUUGAGAAAUAUUUUUGUACAAGGAGAUAUAGGAAGUAAGAUCAUUGUGACGACACGCAAAGAGAGUGUUGCCUUGAUGAUGGGAAAUGAGCAAAUUAGCAUGGACAAUUUGUCAACUGAAGCCUCUUGGUCUUUAUUUAAAAGACAUGCAUUUGAAAACAUGGAUCCUAUGGAACAUCCGGAACUUGAAGAGGUCGGAAAACAAAUUGCAGCUAAGUGCAAAGGACUGCCCUUAGCUCUGAAGACGCUGGCUGGCAUGUUACGCUCCAAAUCAGAGGUUGAAGAGUGGAAACGUAUUUUGAGAAGUGAAAUAUGGGAGCUGCCAGACAAUGACAUAUUACCAGCGUUGAUGUUGAGCUACAAGGAUCUUCCGGCACAUUUAAAGCUAUGUUUUUCCUAUUGUGCAAUAUUUCCUAAAGAUUAUCCAUUUAGUAAAGAACAAGUCAUUCAUCUGUGGAUUGCCAAUGGUCUCGUACCAAAGGAUGAUGAGAGAAUUCAAGAUCCAGGCAACCAAUACUUUCUCGAAUUGAGAUCAAGAUCAUUAUUCGAAAGGGUCCCAAAUCCUUCUGAAGGGAACAUAGAGAAAUUCUUAAUGCAUGACCUUGUCAACGAUUUAGCCCAAAUUGCAUCUUCAAAACUUUGUAUCAGGUUGGAAGAGAGCCAAGGAUCUCAUAUGUUAGAAAAAAGUCAACACUUAUCAUAUUCAAUGGGAUAUGAUGGUGAGUUUGAGAAAUUGACACCCCUCUACAAAUUGGAGCAGCUGAGGACGUUGCUUCCGAUAUGUACUGAUGUCAGUUAUUACUCUCUGAGCAAGAGGGUGCAGCAUAACAUACUGCCAAGACUAAGAUCCUUGAGNNNNNNNNNNNNNNNNNNNNNNNNNNNNNNNNNNNNNNNNNNNNNNNNNNNNNNNNNNNNNNNNNNNNNNNNNNNNNNNNNNNNNNNNNNNNNNCAUUACCAGAUUAAGGAGUUGCCAAAUGACUUGUUUAUCAAAUUAAAGCUCCUCAGAUUUUUGGACCUUUCUCUGACAUAUAUUGAAAAGUUGCCUGAUUCUGUUUGUGGAUUGUAUAACUUGGAGACACUUCUCCUGUCAUCUUGUUAUAAUCUUGAGGAGCUACCGCUGCAGAUGGAGAAGUUGAUUAACUUGCAUCACCUUGACAUAAGCAACAGUUUUCGCUUGAAGAUGCCGCUACAUCUAAGCAAGUUGAAAAGCCUCCAAGUGCUAGUGGGAGCCAAGUUUCUUCUAAGUGGUUGGAGGAUGGAAGAUUUGGGUGAAGUACAUAACUUGCACGGAUCUCUAUCAGUUGUAGAGUUGCAAAAUGUGGUUGAUAGUAGGGAAGCUGUGAAGGCAAAGAUGAGGGAGAAAAAUCAUGUUGACAAGUUAUCUUUGGAGUGGGUUGGAAGUAGUAGUGCCGACAAGUCACAAACUGAAAGAGACAUACUUGAUGAGCUACGCCCACAUAAAAACAUAAAAGAAGUCAAGAUCACCGGAUAUAGAGGGACAACAUUUCCAAAUUGGCUAGCUGAUCCUUUGUUUCUUAAGCUGGUGAAAUUGUCUCUUAGCAACUGCAAGGACUGUUAUUCCUUGCCAGCACUAGGAGAACUCCCUUGUUUGAAAUUCCUUUCGAUUAGAGGGAUGCAUGGAAUAACAGAGGUGACGGAAGAAUUCUAUGGCAGUUUGUCCUCCAAAAAGCCUUUUAACUGUCUUGAGGACCUUGAAUUUGAAGAUAUUCCGGAGUGGAAGCAAUGGCACGUACUAGGAAAUGGAGAGUUCCCUACACUUGAGAAGCUUUUCAUUAUAAAUUGCCCAGAACUCAGUUUGGAGACACCCAUCCAACUUUCAUGUUUAAAAAGGUUUCAUGUUGUUGGUUGUUCUAAGGUUGGAGUUGUUUUUGAUGAUGCUCAACUGUUUAUAUCCCAACUUGAGGGAAUGAAACAGAUUGUUGAACUAUUUAUUAGUGAUUGUAACUCUGUUACCUCCUUUCCUUUUAGCAUACUGCCCACUACCUUGAAGAUAAUAUGCAUAUCUCGUUGCAAGAAAUUGAAAUUGGAGAUGCCAGUUGGCGAGAUGAGUUAUUGUAACAUGUUUCUCGAUUAUUUGAGCGUGGCAGAAUGUGAUUAUAUAUCACCUGAGUUGUGCCAAAGAGCACGCCAAUUGAGAGUACAGGAUUGCCACAACCUUACUAGGUUUUUGAUUCCUACUGCGACUGAAACUCUCUAUAUUCGGGGAUGUGAGAAUGUUGAAAAACUUUCGGUGGCAUGUGGGGGGACCCAGAUGACGUCACUGAUUAUUGAUGGCUGUAAGAAGCUGAAGUGGCUGCCAAAACGUAUGCAGGAACUCCUUCCAUCUCUUAAGCAACUGCAACUGAUUGAUUGUCCAGAAAUAGAGUCCUUUCCUCAAGGAGGAUUGCCCUUCAAUUUACAACGACUUUGGAUCAGAAAUUCCAAGAAACUGGUGAACAGACGAAAGGAGUGGUGUUUGCAGAGACUCCCCUGUCUCAACUUGUUAGAGAUCUCUCAUGAUGGCAGUGACGAAGAGAUUGUUGGUGGUGAGAAUUGGGAGUUGCCUUCCUCUAUUCAAAAACUUACAAUAAACAAUGUGAAAACAUUAAGCAGCCAACAUCUCAAAAGCCUCACCUCUCUUCAAUAUCUAUGUAUUGAGGGUAAUUUUCCUCAAAUUCAGUCAAUGCUGGAAGAAGAGCUUCCCUCCUCUCUUUCUCACCUCACUUCGCUUCAAAGUCUACACAUCGGGAAUUUCCCUAAUCUCCAAUCACUUUCUGAAUCAGCACUGCCCUCCUCCCUCUCUCAGCUGACCAUAGAUGAUUGCCCUAAUCUCCAAUCACUUUCCGAAUCAGCACUGCCCUCCUCCCUCUCUCAGCUGGAGAUCUCCCAUUGUCCUAAUCUCCAAUCCCUUCCGGUAAAAGGGAUGCCCUCUUCCCUCUCUCAACUAAGUAUUUACAACUGCCCAUUGCUCACACCGUUACUAGAAUUUGACAAGGGGGAAUACUGGCUAAAUAUUGCUCAAAUUUCCACCAUAGUGAUCGAUGAGGAAUCCCUGUGAUGAUUAAAACGAAUGGCUCUCCAACUGAUGUAAGUUAUUCUUUUCCAUCAUAAGCUUUUUACUUUUGUUUACUUCACUUUGCAUUUUUGUUAAUCCUUUUCCUUUUUUAAACCUUUUUGAGCAGUGUGGAAUGUCUAUUGCUCAAACCACGGCUGCCGACCAAAAACUGCUCAUAUUUCCACCAUAAAUGUUCAUUGGGAGAACCUCUAAUGAUUCAAACAUGUGGUGCUCCAAUAGAUGUAAGUUCCUUAGUAUCUUUUGAUUUUUGGUUACUUCUCUUUGCUUGUUUCUUAAUUCUUUUUCUACAUUAUAGGAUAAAGACAUGUUUUACUCCUCUCGAUAUGCAGAUAUGUUGCAGAGAUGAAGUCUCUGUGAGAGUGGUAAGAUAUCAUUUAAAGCAUAUGGCAAUCUAGCUCAGCAAGAGAUACAUGCUAAAGUAUAUCCUGUUUGGGAUGAAUUCAACGUGAGAUAACAAAAUAAUGAUUUACUCGUGUUUCAGUUACCAAGAUGCUUAUUUUGUUGUAAUACUUUGCACUCUCAUAAAUCAGUGAAAUAGGUUUCCUUCAUUGGCACCCUCAUCAGUCAUCAGUCUGCGAAACAGAGAAAUCAACGGUUUCAAAAUUCUUUAGAACCCAUUUCGAGCUUCAUACCUUCAAUUCUGAUGACACCCAAGACACAAAAGACAUCAACAUAGUAGAAGAAUUUAACCCAACACCCAUUUCAACCCAAGUUUUUGAUUCCUGCUUCACCUGAUGGGAAGAAGUUUACGUGUGAGAAAGGUCUAUAGGUACAAAUAUUUUUUCUUCUCCCUUUCUUACUGCGGCGCUUAUAUUGGUUUUGCCCCACUUUGCAUCAUAAUGAUGUUGGAGUGUAUCGGUUUUCUACUGGUAUUCAGAUACUUAAAAUGGGAAAUUGCUUUUGAAAAUAUCAUUUUCAUUGUUCGAAUGUUUUUUAAAUCAUCUGUUGAUCCAAAAUUUUCAUUUUUCUGUUGAUCUUCUUCUAUAUUUAGUUUUACAUGUCUUCUGAUUGAGUUAUAAUACAUGCCUUGAUUCUAUAGAAGAUGAUAAAUUGUCAAAUCCUUCCAGUGCGUUGAUCGUAGAUAAGACACUCAGAAGAAGAAAAGAUGACACGAAGAUGGUUAGCUGCAAGGUAACCGACAGAAAUUUCUUUAUAGGAGGAAAAUGGAAUCGAAGAAUCCGGGAUGACAUAGACCCACAGUGUGAAAGAGGUAAGAGAGUUUCAUCUACAGUGUAAACAGAAACUUUGAUAGGUAAAGGAGGCAGACAAAAAAGCUAAACAUCUUUUUAUAUGCAAUAGCAAUUCAUAGAAGUAUCAAUAAGCUUACAAUCCAUCAUAUAUUUCUUCUAAGUACAUAAGAUGUAAUGUCUGUGGCAAGUAACUUUUAAGGAGAUUCUAGUGCUUUUACCAAGGAUAACAUCAAUAUUUUGAUCCAUUGUGAAGGCGUAAUUCUGUUUCCAGCAGGAUUAUAUUAGUUUCUUUUCUAAUUAAGAAAUAACAAUGUCUUCAAUGCAUUGUCAAGAUUCAGUCUACUUUCUAGCAGCAAUUAACAUGAAUCGUACAUCCGUUCCAAAUGUCAUUAUAAAAAGGAAAAAAAAACUGCUGACACUACACUUCAUCUCAAUUCUCAUUAGGAUAGUUGAAGUAUGAAUUAUUCUUAUGUAUUUACAUUUAUCUGCAGGAUUAUCUUAUGUGAAUGUGUUUCUGAGUAAGGAUAUGAGUGAAAUAGCCCAAAAACCUAUAUAAACCCCUUUGGAAGACUACAACUUGCAUAACUCAACACUCUCUCACAUGUGUAACCAGAUUUUGAGGUUCACAUGGACUUCAAUAUGAACUCAAGAGUGUGAGAAUAAACUUAUAAAAGGAUGGUUGUGAUAUUAUGUGAUGAGAACGUAAAACCUUAUAAAUUCCUUUGAAAAGCCUCUAUUCAAAUUUCAACCCAUAUGGAACAACAAUAUAACUUAACUGAAAAUGGCUAAGAAUCAAAUAUACGAUACUCUAAGACCACUCAAUUCUUUGUUUAUAGUAAAAUGUGUAGAGAAUAGCAAAAGAAAAGUAUAUAUAUUCGGGAAGCCUUCUGCUAGCCCAAGACCGUUAAUUAAGAUCGGAAGAUUCAACUAAACAAGAGGAAGCUGGAAAGGAGAACUUUGUUUAAGUAAGAAGACUCUUGAAUUGUCUUUGUUUGGGUUGUUCUUGGGUUGAUUACAAAUGCCUAAUGUCACCCCUAUUUAUUCUAGAUAUUUCUAUACUAUAAAUAUUCUUAAGUAUAUAUAUCAAAAAAUAAUUUACUCUACCAAAUUCUAGAAAGUUCUACGGGAUAUCUAAGAUAUUUUUGGUACCUCCAUAAAAUCAACUUUAAUUUUUCACAAAAUCAACUGCUACAAACAGCUUCACUGAAAACAAAUAGCACAGAAGAAAGGGUCUGGUUGUCUUCUGCUUAGGGAAAAAUUGAUUAUUGAAAACACUUUUGUGUACAUGACAUUAACAUCUCUCAUUUUCAUAUGUGAAGUUUGCAUCCAAGAAGUUCCAAAAGAGGAAGUGAUAAUGUGGUAUGCAUUGUUCACUUUCACAUCCCAUUUUUCUGUUUCUUUGGUCCCUCUUCUUCCUGUUCCAUUACUUUGUUUUCCGUUGGGAAUUUUCUUCUAACUGCUAUGGAGGUUCAACCAUAUCAUACGCGUCGUCAAUGUUUAAAGCCCUUUUGUGAUGUCAUUUAGUGUAGUGAUGUAUAACAUCAUGUUGUGAUUUUAAAGAUUUGCUUAUCUUUUACCCAUGCCUAGGUUGACGCCUUACUUUGUCUUUACUCUUUACGCAUCAUCUGGUGUCGCCCUGAAAAUUUUUGUGUAGUUAAGGUCUUUGAUUCUACCUUAAUCGUAAAAUGCAUCCCUUGUACUUAGGAGGUCAUACAAUCAGUAAGCUUGAUGACAUGCUUUUGUCGAAGAAUGACUAUGAUGAUUGAACUUCUGCAAUUCGUUUGUCGGCAGGUGGAGAUAUACAGCCAUUGUUACGAGAAACAACCUUUGGUUAUCCAAGGUGCUGGAGCAGGAAAUGAUACCACAGAAGCUGGUGUCCUAGCUGAUAUCCUUGACAUUCAAGAUUUAUUCCCUUGACUGAGUAUUACACACUGAGAUACAAACAUUCGAUCCUCAUAGGAUGAAAAAUCGACUCUUCCUGUCCCUCUGCUUUCAGAUUGGAGAUUGAAAUCAUGCUAAGAAAGCUCACAUAUUUUUUGAAAAAAUUCUCGAUACACAAGAGUGCCUUGUCAGUUUACAGUAGAUUAUAAUGCAAUUUCUUUCGUGCAUAACGACUCAAAUGGAACAGUGCAAACUGAGUCAUUUGCCUCAGUACUGGACUAGUUUUUAGGAUUUCACUUCAGCUUAUAAUCAGUUUGCUUUAUAAUGACCAUUUUGGUACCCCAACUUUUUAUGUUAUCACAAUUUUAGAGACUUAUCUCUUGGUUAUUAUGCUUUUCAAUGUAUGAAAUGAUGUGAGAUCAUGCUCAUGAUCUACACAUACCAGAUAAUCAUUAUCUUAAAAUGGAAAAGAACUACUAAAUGAUAUCAAGUAAUAAUCGCCAUUAGUGAUAUCCAAGCAUAAUUUGGUACUCUCGUAAGUUGUUUUCAUCACAACUCGAAUGUCAUCGAAAGUUUUCCAUGGUAACUGUUUACAAUAACAAGGUAUAACAAUUAUUACGCCUCAGUCUCAAACAAGUUAGGGUCGGCUAAACAAUCAAAAACUUGGCAUCAGUUGACAAGUAAGCGCUCAACUGACAACUAAACACUUCAUCUCAUCCCACUAUGUCUUGUGGACACUGGAUGCUGACGUGUCACAUAAAUUUUGGUUGUCUAGAUGUGCAUGCUCAAAGUUGGAGUGCAUACUUGCCUGUUUAGGCCAAAUUUGAGUUGUCUGUCAGAGCAAGAUCAGACCACACACGGGGACUAUCGCCUACCUCAAAGCUUAGAUAUGAGAUCGAAUCGCAUUAAAAAACAAGACCUAAGCAUGUAGCAAAUUAUCUUACCCAGUCUACAAGAUACAUGUUCAUGGCCCUUGGGCCUUAGGACAUCUUCAUCAGGUACCACUCCAGAAUCUCCUGCAUUAUUUACCUGCAGAAAUUUAUUCAGCAACUGUCCAAUAUUUGCCUCGAGAUCGAAUAAGGAUUAAUACAUAGAUUCAUGCUCUUACCAGAAUAUCAAGCCUCCCAUAUUGUGUUUGUAUGAACUUUGCUAAGGACUCAAUGCUCUGAGCAUCAACAUCAAGUUGUUCAUUCAGCAAGGAUGUUGCUUCAGUUCCUCUCUUUUCGUCUCUGGCUGUUAAGACAACCGUUACACCUGAAUUGGCGAGCUGCUUAACAGUCUCGAAGCCAAUUCCCUUGUUUGCUCCAGUAACAACUGCAUACUUACAAACGUCUCCCAUCACUUAAGUCCAAUGUUUCUAACCUUUUCUCCUUUGGAAUCCUUUUGGGCAGAAGAAAAAAGAACAAUAUUUCAAACGAAAUAACGAUACAGGAAGAAAGAGGUACGUAUAGACUAAUAAUCCAAGAGUUUGAAAUAACAACCUCAGGGAAUUCAUUUCAUCUACCUAAGCCUUAAUUGACAGGAUCGAUUACCAGUAUAAAGUUGAUUAGUUCAGGUUUCCGCAGCUGCUAACCUAGACACUACUGUUAUUAAACCCAAAAAACCUCUCUCUUACCAUACUACGAGUCAGGGGUAUAACUAAUGGGACGCAAAGGGGUUCAUCCGAUCCACCCCCUCCCCGAAAAAUUGCUCCAUACAUGUAUACAAAGCCAAAAUUACUUUUUAUAUGUAAGCAUAGUAAUGUUACUUGAGACAAUCAAAACCUCUUUGUGUUUUUACAACAACAUACCCAAUGUAGUUCCACAAAGUGGAGUUUGGGGAGGAGGGUACGCAUACAUUACCCCUACCAUAGAGGUAGAUAGGCUAUUUCCGAAAAAACAGUCCAAAGCAGUUCUGAAAAAGAAGUAACGGAAGUGCAUAGUAAUAACAAAAACAACAGACAGCAAACAAAACAGAAACUAGAACAAAACAAAAGGAUAUAUAAUUGAGAUACGAGAAACAACAAAUAGUAACAAAACUGAAGCAAGAACAAAAUGAUACGAUAUAUAAUUGAGAUACAAGCAACAACAGAUAGUAACAAAACAAAAACUAGAACAAAACAAUACGAUAUAUAAUCGAGGUACAAGAAACAACAAAUUGUAAGAACAACGGAAGGACAACAAACUACAGGGCAAUACAAUCAUGUUAGACCUCAACUAAUUCCAACCAUUAUCUAUAAACUUACCCUGUCACAUGAAUCAAAACGAUAUAGUAAACAAUCAAAGACCAAAUUUCAGAAUCAGUUCAUUUUUGUCAAGAUUUGGAAAUAUUGAGUUACCUGUAAAACAAAUCUGAAAAUGGGGUUGGCAAUUGAAGGCCUAAUUUCUGUUCUACUAUCUACUACUGGUGUAAUUAAAUUUGAUGGAUAAAUAAAUACAUUACAUGAAAUAAAAAAAAUAACAAAAAAAGAGAGAGAAAGAAUGUGAAAAAAAAUGAAAAUAAAUAUGACUUUAGAGGCAAUGUUAUAGGGACUAAAAUCGUUAUUUCCACUUUUAUAUUAUGUUUUCAAUUCCCAUUAUAGGACUUUUUUGCUGUUUUUUUUUUUUGUGUGUGGCUAAAACAUAGUUUGUAGUACCACUAGCAAAAAAGAGAGAGGUGGAUAUAUUAUUUUCGUAGUUAGCAACGUGUUAUAUAUUUUUAUAGUGGACAUAUUGUAUUUUCACUCGAUGUCUGGUAUCCACAACAAUUUUUGCACAUUUUAGGGGCGGCUCCUGACAUGGUCAUUUUCCAUUCCAAUUUCCACAGCCCGUGUUUCUAAAUCAUCAUAUCAUAUCAUAUAUAUCAUAUAUUACUAAAAGUGGAAGUUCCAAAGUGCAAAGUUGGAUUACCAUUUUAUCCCUACACUGUAUAAAUCAUCAUAUCAUAUAUCAUAUAUCAUAUAUCAUCAUAUUCAUAUUCAUCAUAUCAUCAUAUUCAUAUAUAUAUAUUAUGAAAAGUGGGAAGCUUUUAACUUUAAAGUUGGAUUACCAUUUUACCCCUACGAUAAGUUAAAAUGUUAUAAAAUAUUUAAUUUAAUUAGAAUUCUCAAUAAGUUUUCUCUAAUAAAUAUUUGUAUUCAUAACCGAAUUUCUAUGCAACCUAUAAUUACAAUGCUUAAUAUGUAUUAACCUCUCACAAUUGAAUUAUGGAAAAAUUACAAAAAUUCCACCUUUUAGUUUACUUAUUAUCAUUAUCCCCUAUAAAUUUUAUAAAUUUCCAAAAUCCCUCAUUUUUGCACAUCAGAUUAAUGUAUCAACGCUUAUAUUAUUGUAUCUCGCGCUUAUAUUAUUGUAUCUCGCGCAUCAGAUUAAUGUACCAUGUAUAAAAUGUACAUCAUAUUAGUGUAUCAUGUAUAAAAUGUACAUCAGAUUAGUGUAUCAUGUAUAAAAUGUAAUGUAUCUUACUUAACAAUUAAUGUAUCUCGCGCAUCAGAUUAAUGUAUCAUCACUUAUAUUACUGUAUCCGUUUUGAGGGAUUUCUGUAAUUAUAAACUUUUAAGGGAUAAAUUGUAAUUUUGCCUUAAAAGUAUGUGAUUUCUGUAAUUUUCCCUUGAAUUAUUAUUAAUAAUAAUAAUUUAUAUAUAUAUAAUUAAAUCAAAUAUUUAAUUAAAUAUCUAAUUAAAAAAUAUUAUUUUGCGCACCUUAAGUAAAAGUUAAAUAAAAUUCAAUUAAUUAAUUUUUCAAUUACAUAAAUUGAACGGGAUUUGGAAGUGGAAAAGUGGUACUUUAAUGCUCAGACAAACGUAUCCAAGGAAUUCACAUAAUACAUGAUUAAUUGCUUUAAAUUAACACAUCAUGUAUUACUUUACCUAACUUUUACAAUUCCUAUAAUUUGUCUUUUCAUUUUCUUUAACUUAACUUAUCAAAUUCUAACACUUUUAAAUUAGUAACCAAUCUUUGUUAAUAUAACAAUCAAUAGAAUUUGAAUAGUUCAUUAAGUAUUUAAGUGUAGGUUAAUAAAUACAUAUUAUGUUAAAAGGAAUUUUAAAGAACAUAAAAAAAAACACUAUAUAAAGGUAACAAAUGAUUUCCAUUUCCUUAUGCAUGAAAUAAGAAAAUGGGAGAUGGAGAAACAUGUAGAGUUGAUAGAUGUUGGAAUUGAAUAAUUGUCAUAUCAAUUUACAUGCAACAUUCAACAUUCAUUGGAUGAUAUAUGAAGACCACUAUCUCCGUAUGGAGUGCUACCAGAAAUUCAUGAGCUAUGAAAAGGAGGAAGUUGGUUUCUUUGGAAGAUUUGAUUUUAGAAUUUUCAUUAAUUGAUUUAUUCUUAUAAUGUACUGUAAUUAUAAUUGUUUACGGCUAUAGAUAAAUGCGACGUUAUUUGUGUAUUUGGAAGGGAGUUAUAAAAUGAUAUCUUGUAGUAUUUUACUAUAAAAGUGGGAACUACCAAGUUAAAAGUUUGAGAACUACCAAGUUAAAAGUUUACAUCUCUGGCAUUCAUCUUAAUUUGUUUGUUAUUGUUGAUAUAGUAGUUGGAUAUCACAGGUUAUAUGCCUUCAUGGCAACAUCUGAUUGGUAUUGAAAAAAUUAUUUCGUAAUUUUUGUAUUCUGUAAUGUGUCUUCAUAUGUAUCUUCAUAUUUGAAUUUACUGAUUCAUUUUACUGAAAGAAUUAGGAGUAUCCGCGUCAUAUAUAAAUAUAGUAUCAAACUUUAAAAGGAAAAUUUUCUUUUAUUUUGAUAUGAUAUCAUUGAAUAAAAACUAUUUUAGCUAAGUUGCAAUUUUUUGCUACAUUUAUUUUCAAAACUAAAUAUGUAUGUAUUUUUUUAAAUAUCAUUAAUAUGGGAAACACACGCAACGCGCGUGUCCGGAGACUAGUAUAUUACUAAAAGUGGGAAGUUUCAAAGUGCAAAGUUGGAUUAUCAUUUUACCCCUACACUAUAUAAAAAUAUUAUAAAUAAUAAUAUAUAUUAAUUAAUUAUUAAUUAUUAAUCCAACUCAAAAGUUAAUUUUUUAUUAUCAAUUAUGAGUUAUGACUCUUCAAUGGCUCAAUCCCAUUUUUCAGCAACCAUACAACUUCAGCUAUUUUAAUCGUAUACUAUUUUCUGUUUUCAAAGCAUUUAGUUAUUUUUCCAUAUUGAAUUAAAUAUUUUAUGUUUUAUAAGCAUUUAGUUAGUUUUCCGUAUCAAAUUAAAUAUUUUCAGUUUUCUAAACAUUUAAUAGACUCUUCAGUUUUGGAAUAUGAAUAGUUAUUUUCAUUUUCUAUAUAUUUACUGUGAAUAAAUUAUUAUUUUUUACUUCUAAUCCUUUUUAUAGUUUUCUCUUGUAUUUGCUUAGCCUUUGUGUUUGCUAAUUACUAAUUUUUAUUUAUUUUUCUUUGCUUCAGAUCUUAUCUUGCAAUUGUGAUCUCUUCCCUUCUCAAUUGCAUCAUCAGCUACAUAAUAGAUAUGAUAUUCAUAUCAUUGGAGUUAUGCUUAGUCAUGAAGAAGGUAAACAUACAUUAAGCCAAUUCACUAGGAAUCUUUUUAGUUUGUUAAGAUGUGUCUCAUUAUUAGGAAUCUUUUUAGUUUGUAUUAAGUUCUAGCUUGUUUGUGAAUAUGGAUUGAUUAUGUUAUAUUUCAUAAUAUUAUUAUAUUUAAACAAUUUAGUUAAUAUUCUCCUAUAAAAUCUACACAUGAAGGAUUCAUAAUCUUGAAUCAAACAAAGAAAGUCGUACAUGCAAUUAUCUAAUACAAAUAAAUAUGAUUUUUGCAAGUGUACCCCGUGAAUUGACAACGAUACAUUAUCCAUCUUAAAGAAGACAUAUGUUAAUCAAUAUUUCUAUAUUAUGAAAUACAAUUUUUAUUCGAAAACAACAUCUUGAUAUGUAUGUGGAUAUAUAUAAUUGUAACAUCCGGCAAUGUGAAAUGGCUAUGGAGAGGCUUAAGAAUUUGAAAUUUGUCAUUUUUGGAUUGAAUUUUGAAAAUCUGGAAAAUUGGCUAAGUGUGGAAAAAUGAGUUUUUGGCCAACUUUGAACAUCCAUAAAUUAUAUCUCAGGAUGAGUUAGCGGAUUUCCAGUUAUGGUUGCAAAGUUCGUGGAACGAUCUUUCCAAUGCCACCAAGUUUGCUCGAUUCCGAGUUCGUAUGAGCGAGUUAUGGCCAUUGAAAGUUGGGCAGCUGGCAGGGAAUCCGUCCGGAAAUUUUAAGGGCAUUUGGGUCUUUUCCCUUGCCAUUUCUUUUGGGAUUAUAUUGUUGUAUUAGGCUGAUCUUUGGAUCAUUUUGUCCCAUUUUGAAAGAGAAAGAGUUAGGGUUCUUGAGAGUGAAGAAGAGAAGAAGAAGAGAUCAACAAGAUUCGCCAAGAUCAUCGUGGAUUAUCGUCGGGGGUGAUCCCUACUAGGUAUGUGAGUUCUUUGUGUGGGUUGAUCCUUUCCCCCACACACCAAGCUCAUGUUUAUGGUUUGAGAAAAGAUUGGUUGAGUUGUUGAAGUUCUUGUUGGUUUGGGACAUGAUUUGGUUGUGUUUUGAGUCGAAAUCUAUUGUAUGUUGAGGGAUUUAUGAUUCUAAGUGUUUGGGGCUGAAAACCUUUUAAGUUAAGAGAGUUGAGAGUUGGUAACGUGAAGGAGAAAAGCCGGGCAGCUUGCAUGGAGCAAGUCUGCGUCGCGGCUUUGUUCCCAGAGGGAACAAAAGCUUCUCCGCGUCGCGGACAGAACGCGAACUUCACUGUUUUCAGAAUUUAAUCUCAUAAAUUUCCUUAAGUUUAGCUGUCCUAAAUCAUUCCUAAAUCAUUCCUAAACACCAUGAGGUCUUUCCAAACACAAAACAUGAUCCUUAAAUCCAUAAUUCCAAUCAAGAAAGUUAGGAUCAAAGUCAAGCCUAGAAGUUAAGAAUUUUAAGUCAAAGCAAGUUUUCAAGUUGUUCAAGAGUCUUCAUUGAAUGUUUUAACUUCAUUGUGAGGCUCAAGUUUCAAGUUAGUUCAAGUUAAGUCAAGCGUUUCGAGUUGAGCAUUGAGUUUCAAGUCAAGUAAAGAGCAUAAGGGUUUAAAGUUGAGUUCAUUUCUCAAAAGUAUUAGGGAACUAAGUAUUCCCAAAGAAGUUUAUAAAUGUUUUCACAUUUAAGUAAGAAAGGAACUAUGAUUUCCAAAAGAGAGCCUUUGGGCUAGUUUUCAAGAAAAAGGAAUAUCGAUUCCAAGAGAGCCUUUGGGCUAAGCUUUGAGUAAUUAUCUCAAAUUAAAGAAAGAUGUGUUUAAAACACUUAUGAGCGAAAGUAUUUUUGGGAGUAUUAUUGAGCACCGAAUUGGGGACACGAGUUCAUAUUAACUCAACUCUCCAUAAGAACCAUGCGCCAACAUGGGAUUUCUCGGGUCAUACUUUUUAGAUAAUCACGAAAGUUAAGCUAGUGGAUCCAUUAAGCAAAGGUAAGGUCCUAUAUCACGGCAAGGUAUAGGAUGGUCCUUGGGUUACGUGAGGUAAAACGUUGUAUCAUCACUAGGGCUCAUAGUGGUGGUUGUCGGUUAAAGAAUCUCCCACAAAAGUUAUAUUACUUUUAUAUAAGUAAAGUUGAGUUUGUUAUUGUUUUAUCAUUAAUGAACUAAGUUGUUUAUACUAUUUUACAAGUUUUAUAUAUUGCAUGUGUCUUAUUGCUUUAUAUAUUGAGUUCAGUUAUGCAUGAGUUGAACAGAGCCAAGGUAGGAGUUCCUUUGUACUAUUUUCAAGCGUAAGUAGUGGUUCAGCUUUCCAGCUCGCAUACUCGUACAUUCCAUGUACUGAUGCCAGUUGGCCUGCAUCUUUUUAUGAUGCAGACGCAGGUACCCAGGAUCAGCAUCCAGUACGUCGUUGAUCCAGUUGAGCACUCCAGAGUCAGUGGUGAGCCUCCUUGCUUUUCGGAGGACUCGGCUAUCUUGUUCUCUUAGUUUUGCUUUAUUAGGAUGUUGCGGGGUCUGUCCCAACAUCCAUCUCAGUAUUAUAGAGGCUUCAUAGACAGUCAGUCAGUUAGUUUUUGAGUCUCUCAUCUAUGUAUAUAUGUAAAUAUUUUAUUUUGAGACUCGAGUUGCCUUUGUGGCCAGAUAUUAUCAAUUGGGUUGUUUUAUAACCUUUCAUUGCAUGGAGUUAUUCUAUUAAGUUAGGUUUCCGCUGAGUUAAGAAAGCCAGGCCAAGGGUUCGCUUGGGGGCCAGCAAUGGUCUUCGAGUGCCGGCCACGUCCAGGGUGUAGACUCGGGGCGUGACAAUAAUUAAGGAGGAGACUAUAGUUUCUUAAAAAUAAGACACAAACUUUAAGAUAUGAAAUAUUUACAAACAUAAUCAACGUUACUUAUGUUUACCUAUAAACUAUAUGUUAUUGAACUAUUAAAAAAAUAAGAGAAGUGUCACACUGAGUAUAAGAUAUUUGAGAACUACAUAAGAAAAAUGUUAAAUCAAUUCAAUUGACUAUUUAUAGCUACAAACAAUUCCCUUUUCUAAAUUUAAUCACUUAUUACUUACAUGUUUUAGCAUCAUCUAUAUCAUUUAAAAAAUUGUACUAAUUAACAUGAGACACACGUCCGAAAACUAGUUUUAAAUAAGGGUAGAAAAAUCUCAACUAUAGCACCACAACUCAUAUAAGUUGUAUUGGAUAUACAAGUGUAGACUAAAAAAUAUAACUAUGCAAGUGCAAAUAUUUUUGAAAAGAACCAAAUAACAAGCAAAAUGCUCUAUUAAUGUAUGGUAUUUGUAUAUUUAAAUUUUGAUGUAUGUCAAUCACUACUUUAUUGAAUGUUUAUUGUUUUUGAGUAUUUUUUUGCUUUGCAGUUUUAAUUGUUGAUCUGAGAAUCUACUGAACAAUAUUAGCCUCCACUAUUGGUGGUUCAAUUUCUUCAAGAGUUGUCAUAUUACCCUUUUUUUCUGAAAAGAUUUUUGGUUUUCUCUGCUUCUUAUGUGUUAUGUGUUAUGUGUUCUUUUAUACUUUCUGCAAUUUCUUGUUAGUUUGUUUUACUAACAUGGAGAAAGGACAUUUUGUAGGGUAGAGAGGUUGUUUCCGAUAGACCCUCACCUUAAGUAAAUAUAGAAAAAAUAAUACCUUAGAGAAAAGGAAAAUGGAACAGAUUCCAAUUCUUCACAAUUCUAAAGCGUAUUCAUGAUAUGUUAGGCCCAAUUAAGCACUACAAUGAGCUGUUGAAAAAUGAACAAGUGCAUAAAGCAAAAGUAGUUAAUAGACAUAAAGCAAAAGAUACCUUCCUCUAUUGCCUCAAUUAGUGGAGUGAUACUUUUUGAAAAGAGAAAAGAGGACAAUAUUGCUUCUUGUAGAUUAGCUAAAACAUAGUUGUACUAAUUAAAGAGAGAGCAAUCACUGAUCCUUCUUGUUUGCAAAUUACUCUUAACAUUCAACAGGUAAAGUAAAGUUCUAUCUUAGUAGUUGAAGCUAGAUAGAAAAUCAUUUUGUGUUUCCUUGCAGAUUUCAGAAAUGGAGAUUGGUUUAACAGUUGGUAGUGCAUUUCUCUCCUCAGCUUUGAAUGUUCUGUUUGAUAGGCUUGCUCCUCAGGGUGAUCUUCUCAACAUGUUUCAGAAGCAUAAGCAUCAUGGUCGGCUCUUAAAGAAGCUGAAAAUGACUUUGCGUGGUCUUCAGAUUGUGCUAAGUGAUGCAGAGAAUAAGCAAGCAUCGAAUCAAUUUGUGAGCCAGUGGCUUAAUGAGCUUCGACAUGCUGUGGACUCUGCUGAAAACUUGAUUGAAAAAGUCAAUUAUGAAGCUUUGAGGCUUAAGGCUGAAGGUAAGCAUCAAAAUCUUGCAGAAACAAGCAACCAUCAAGUAAGUGACCUCAACCUGUGCUUGAGUGAUGAUUUUUUCCUUAACAUAAAGGACAAAUUGGAAGACACUAUUGAAACAUUAAAGGAUCUGCAAGAGCAAAUUGGUGACCUUGGCUUAAAGGAGCAUUUUGGUUCCACGAAACAAGAAACUAGAAGACCUUCAACUUCUUUGGUUGAUGAAUCUGAUAUCUUUGGUAGGCACAAGGAAAAAAAGGAUUUGAUUGACCGUUUAUUGUCUGAAAGUGCAAGUGGAGAAAAGCUGACCAUAGUUCCUAUAGUUGGAAUGGGUGGUGCGGGUAAGACAGCACUAGCUAAAGUUGUUUACAAUGAUGAGAAAGUGAAGAACCAUUUUGGUUUGAAAGCUUGGUAUUGUGUUUCUGAGCCAUAUGAUGCUUUGAGAAUAACAAAAGGGUUACUUCAAGAAAUUGGUUCAUUUGACUUAAAGGAUGAUGACAAAAAUCUUAAUCAGCUACAGGUCAAAUUGAAGAAUAGCCUGACGGGAAAAAAGUUUCUUGUUGUCCUUGAUGAUGUUUGGAAUGAUAACUAUAGUGAAUGGGAUGACCUGAGAAAUCUUUUUGUACAAGGAGAUAUUGGAAGUAAGAUCAUUGUGACGACACGUAAGGAGAAUGUUGCCUUGAUGAUGGGUAGUGGGGCAAUCAACGUGGGGACUCUGUCUGAUGAAGUCUCCUGGGAUCUAUUCAGACGACAUUCACUAGAAAACAGAGAUCCUAAAGAACAUCCAGAACUUGAAGAGGUUGGAAAACAAAUUGCACACAAGUGCAAAGGAUUGCCUUUAGCUCUGAAGGCACUUGCUGGUAUUUUACGCUGCAAAUCAGACGUGGAUGAAUGGAGGGACAUUUUAAAAAGUGAAAUUUGGGAGCUGCCAAGUCAUUUGAAUGGUAUAUUACCAGCGUUGAUGUUGAGUUACAAUGAUCUUCCUGCACAUUUGAAGCAAUGUUUUGCUUUUUGUUCAAUAUAUCCCAAAGAUUAUCCAUUUUGCAAAGACCAAGUUAUUCACCUGUGGAUUGCUAAUGGUCUUGUACAGCAGUUUCAUUCAGGUAACCAAUACUUUCUCGAGCUGAGAUCAAGAUCACUGUUCGAAAUGGUCUCGGAGUCUUCUGAAAGAGACGUAGAGAAAUUCUUAAUGCAUGACCUUGUCAAUGAUUUGGCCCAAGUUGCAUCUUCAAAUCUUUGUAUAAGGUUGGAAGAGAACAAAGGAUCACAUACGUUGGAACAGUGUCGGCACAUAUCCUAUUCAAUAGGACAAUAUGGCGAGUUUGAGAAAUUGAAAUCACUCUUUAAAUCAGAGCAGCUGAGGACAUUACUUGCAAUCAAUAUCCAGCCCCAUUAUUAUCAUAUUAAGCUAAGCAAGAGGGUGUUGCAUAACGUAUUGCCAAGACUAGCAUCCUUAAGGGCAUUAACGUUGUCAAGCUAUGCAAUUGUUGAGUUGCCAAAUGACUUGUUUAUCGAAUUAAAGCUCCUGAGAUUUUUGGAUAUUUCUCGGACAAAGAUUAAAAGGUUGCCAGAUUCCAUUUGUGUGUUGUAUAACUUAGAGACACUUCUCCUAUCAUCUUGUGAUGAUCUUGAAGAUCUACCUCUGCAGAUGGAGAAGUUGAUCAACUUGCAUCACCUUGAGAUAAGCAACACUUGUCGCUUGAAGAUGCCGCUACAUCUGAGCAAGUUGAAAAGCCUCCAAGUGUUAGUGGGAGCCAAGUUUCUUCUAGGUGGUUCGAGAAUGGA